AUGGCUGAGAAGAAGCCGAGGAUUGUCAUAGUGGGUGCGGGCAUAGCCGGACUCUCGGCGGCGCAGCAGCUAUGCGGCGCGGGCCGGGACAAGUUCGAGGUGGUGGUGGUGGAGGCUGGCUGCCGCGCUGGCGGCCGAGUAUACACGUCCGAGUUCGCCGGCCAUCGUCUCGAGAUGGGCGCUACGUGGGUGCAGGGCAUCGUCGGGAGUCCCGUGUACGCGAUGGCGCGGGAAGCAGGCGCGCUCCGGGAGGAGGCCGCAGACCUCCCGUACGAGCGCAUGGACGGGUUCCCUGACAGCGUCCUGACUGUCGCCGAGGGAGGCGACGUCGUCGACGCGGACACGGUGGCCAAGCCGAUCGAGGACCUGUACAGGGGCAUGAUGAAGGCCGCCCGUGCCGGUGAGGCUGUCGGCGGAGGGGGAGUGGAGGAAUACCUGCGCCGGGGGCUGCGAGCGUACCAGGCGGCGCGCCCGGUCGGUAGCAAGGAGCUGGAGGAGAUCGAGGAGGCUCUGCUUUCCAUGCACAUCAACCGGGAGCGCACGGACACCUCCGCCGAUGAUCUCGGCGACCUGGACCUCGCGGCCGAGGGCGAGUACCGCGACUUCCCCGGCGACCACGUCACGAUCCCCAGCGGAUACACCCGCGUGGUCGAGCACCUCGUCGCCGCGCUCCCCGCCCGGUACUUGCGCCUCCACUUCGGCGAUGAGGCGACGACGACGCUCACCGCUGACCAUGUCAUCCUCACAGUCUCGCUGGGCGUCCUCAAGGCGAGCAUCGACGAGGACGUGUCCGCUACGGGCGCAAUCGCCUUCGACCCGCCGCUCCCAGAGUUCAAGCGUGAGGCCGUCGCGCGGCUGGGAUUCGGUGUCGUGGACAAGCUGUUCGUCGAGGUGGAGGCCGUGGAGACGCCGGAGCUGGACGGCGGCGACGAGCAGCUAGCCAGUGCGGCCCCGCCGGCUUUCCCGUUCCUGCACAUGGCGUUCCUCGGAGACGCGGCGAAGAUCCCGUGGUGGAUGCGCGGCACCGAGUCAGUCCGCCCCGUCCACGCGGGCUCCACCGUGGCGCUCGCAUGGUUCGCCGGGCGGGAGGCCACGCACCUCGAGUCGCUCCCCGACGACGAGGUCAUCCACGCGCUCCACUCCACGCUGGAAUCAUUCCUCCCGGCCCCACCUCGCCGCUGCAGCGGGGCAGCCGCGGGGGCGACCCCACGGUGGAGGGUGAAGAGAAUCAAGAGGAGCGGGUGGGCGACGGACCCGCUGUUCCUCGGGUCCUACAGCUACGUCGCCGUCGGGUCAAGCGGCGAGGAUCUCGAUCGGAUGGCAGAGCCGCUCCCAAGCGGGCCGGAGGCCGGUGGGACGCCGCUGAGCGUGCUGUUCGCCGGCGAGGCGACGCACCGGACGCACUGCUCGACGACGCACGCGGCCUACCUGAGCGGCGUACGGGAGGCCGACCGGCUGCUGCAGCACUACCGCUGA
rnacentral:rRNA from 1 species